GCCCGUGUAGCUCAGUUGGUAGAGCACUUCCUUGGUAAGGAAGAGGUCACCAGUUCAAUUCUGGUCGCGGGCU
rnacentral:tRNA from 1 species